UACGUAGGGUGCGAGCGUUAAUCGGAAUUACUGGGCGUAAAGCGUGCGCAGGCGGUUCGUUGUGUCGGCGGUGAAAGCCCCGGGCUUAACCUGGGAAUGGCCGUUGAAACUGGCGAACUGGAGUGUGGCAGAGGGGGGGUGGAAUUCCGCGUGUAGCAGUGAAAUGCGUAGAGAUGCGGAGGAACACCGAUGGCGAAGGCAGCCCCCCCUGGGCUAACACUGACGCUCAGGCACGAAAAGCGUGGGGGAGCAAAACAGG
rnacentral:rRNA from 1 species